rnacentral:rRNA from 1 species
GCCUAGCCUUAAACCUAGAUAGCACCACAACAAACUAUCCGCCAGAGUAUUACGAGCAAAAAGCUUAAAACUCAAAGGACUUGACGGUGCCCCACAUCAGCCUAGAGGAGCCUGUCCCAUAAUCGAUAACCCACGUUAAACCUCACCCGCCAUUGCACAACUAACCCAGUCUAUAUACCGCCGUCUCCAGCUUACCUAAUGAUAGUAAUAAUAGUGUGCACAACAGCCAUACGCUAACAAGUCAGGUCAAGGUGUAACUGAUGGGCGGGGAAAAAGAUGGGCUACAUUUUCUACCACCUAGAACAACACCAACAGCAACAUGAAAACACGCCAAUAAGGAGGAUAUAGCAGUAAGUUACAGGGCGAGGCCCUCCCAACUGAAUUAUGCUCUGGGGCGCGU